CCUACGGGUGGCAGCAGUAGGGAAUAUUGCUCAAUGGGGGAAACCCUGACGCAGCAACGCCGCGUGGAGGAUGAAGGUUUUCGGAUUGUAAACUCCUUUUGUUAGAGAAGAUAAUGACGGUAUCUAACGAAUAAGCACCUGCUAACUCCGUGCCAGCAGCCGCGGUAAUACGGGGGAUGCGAGCGUUAUCCGGAGUUAUUGGGUGUAAAUGGUGAGCAGGCGGAAGAGCAAGUCAGGGGUAAAAUUGAGAGGCUCAACCUCUUCGAGCCGUUGAAACUGGUUUUCGUGAGUGAGCGAGAAGUAUGCGGAAUGCGUGGUGUAGCGGUGAAAUGCAUAGAUAUCACGCAGAACUCCGAUUGCGAAGGCAGCAUACCGGCGCUCAACUGACGCUCAUGCACGAAAGUGUGGGUAUCGAACAGGAUUAGAUACCCGGGUAGU
rnacentral:rRNA from 1 species